rnacentral:lncRNA from 1 species
CCGUGGCCGCGGCCGCGGGGGAGGGGCCGGCGUCAGCGCGUCGCCGGCUGGGCCGCGCCGGUGGCCAGGAGGGAGAGACGAGGAGGAGGAGGAGGUACCUCUGUAUUAGGGUGGAUUGGACAUUUCACAGAGAGUCUUCAGUGUAUCUGGAUCAUCAGGUUGCGCUUCAAGAAGACUAUAGGGAAGAACACAUUUUCUUCUUGCCACAGAAGUUGCAAUAGAAGUAAGUGGGGAGCUGCCAGGAUAUGUCUGUCUCCACAAAACAAGCAGAACAAAUUUCCAUGAAUCAAAGCCACUAAGUAUAGUUUUCAGCGAUGGUAAGACAUAGUUACUUUCCCUAGAAAAAUACCCAAUGUGCAGGCACACCCAUUGGCCACCAGAAAAAUGCCCAAGUAAACCCUAGUUUAAACCUGUACAUUUCAGUCUUCCUACUGAGCUAUUAAAAGGGUGGAUAUGUACUAUAGUUAUAAUCUCGUUUUCCCCUUUUCUAUUUUUCGACCUCCC